rnacentral:rRNA from 1 species
UGGCCGCGGUAAUUUGACCGUGCAAAGGUAGCAUAAUUAUUAGUCUUUUAAUUGAAGGCUUGAAUGAAUGAUUGGAUGAAAAAUUUACUUUAUUAAUUUAAAUUAUUUAAUUUAUGAUCUAAGUAAAAAUACUUAGAUAAAUGAGUGGGACGAGAAGACCCUAUAGAGUUUUAUUUUUUUUUUUUAUUAUAAAAUUCUAGAAUUAAUAUUUUUAUAGUAAUAAAAAAUUUUUGGUUGGGGUGAUCUUAAAAAAUAUUAAACUUUUAAUUAAUAUUUCAUUAAUCUAUGUUGAAUUGAUCCAAAAAUUUUUGAUUACAUGAUUAAAUUACCUUAGGGAUAACAGCGUUAUUAAUUUGAAGAGUUCAAAUCGAUAAAUUAGUUUGCGACCUCGAUGUUGGAUUAAGAAAAAAUUUUGAAGUAGUAUUUAAAAUAAUGGGUCUGUUCGACCUUUAAAUUCUUACG